CUAUUCCUAAGUGAUUCUAUUUGCUUGGAUUAAUGGAGCCUCUGUUACUAUAAGAGUGAAUCGGUGGAUUCCGAGGCAAUUGUAGGUUGUCUUCUUGUGCCUACAAUCCAGGUGGUUCAUGACAACGACUGGCCAAAGUGGAUUUUUGAAGAUGAGAUACAACUAAGGUAUACAAGAGUUUCACGAUGAGCUUCUCGGGCAGAAUAUUGGAGAAAUUCAUCUGCCUUCGGUGGGGGGACUCGUUUACCCCUGAACGUGACGGAGAUACAAUAAUCCUCGAAAGCACAAGAGGUGUGCCAACAGAUCUCGAAAUGCAUGAAUGAAAAUGGAAUCGUAAAUUGUAGGAUGGAAAGGAGGGAAACCCUAUGACCAUACCCGUCGUAAUUGAAGGCAUUGUCUGUCUACACUUGAAACUACAAUAGGAAGUUGAUGUUUAAGCUGUGAAAAUGGUGUCGAAUACAUAAUCAAAAGCCAGU